UAGAAAAAGUGGAGAAAUAGCUGCUCAAAGAUUGGACUGUCAGGUGGCUAGUGACUUAGUCUAUUCAAAGCUGAAAUCUAGAAUUUCAAUGAAGAGUGCCUAGUCCGGAGUGCUUUUGUAAUUAAUCCAUGUGGUUUUAGACUGUAGUUUCUAUAGAAAACUUGAAUGCCAUAGAAAAAUGAACAAGUUUACUAAUGUGACUUGGACUUGGUUCCACAUAAACCUAGGAGAAAAGGUUGUUCCAAAUUGUGCUGUCCGACUAGAAAGAUGUAAAUUUAGUUAAUUGUUGCUGGCAGUUUCAGUGUGUUUUUACCCACCUUUGGAACCCUGUGAUAAUUAGUACUGUUGGGGACUUGUUCUCAAUUGCUAUGAAUUAAGAACAAGGCAACACAAAAUGUUAAAGGUUAAGGCCCUUCGUCCUUCGAAGCAUUAUUUCCCUUAGGGCAUAAUGAUCUUCAGACGAAGGUCAUGAAGGACAUACCUUCAUGAUUGCAGUAUACAUUAAUGAAAGAAGAAGCAUGUAAGACAUAGAAAACAACGUGAAUAGUUAUAUAACAUUAUUAAUUCUUCUUCUAUUAUAUUACCGUGAAUAAACAUGAAUAAUAUAGAAUUACAUUUGUACCUUCGGCUUGACAGAAGGAAAUAGUACAAGCGUAAUGCACGAGCGAAUCUAAGUCAGCGUGAACAGUAUGAGGGUACUGUUCAUCUAUUUAUAGGCACAGGACGCAACAUGUGAGAAAUUACAUUCAUGCCCUUUAUAUUUACUAUUGACUUAUAGACAAAUCUGUGAGGACUAGAUAGCCUUUUCCCCUUUAAGUCGGUUCCUUUUUCUGCUAUUUAGCCGAAGCUCCCUUGCUCGUAGCUUCGGAGCAACUCCAACCUUCGUCAUGAUCAUGCUUUUUACAUCGUAUAUGCUUUUAACCCGAGUCUGAAGGUACCUGUUCAUAUAUCACACUUGGAAGAUAUUGUUAAAUUACGUUUUUGAGGACCUUCGGAGGACGAAGGCCCCCAACAAGUACAAAGCGAGUUGAGGUAAAAAAAUCUAAAGUAAAGUGAAAUACCAUAUAUAGGAGCACAAGUUUCCUUGAGUGGGUUAGGUCUAGUACUGCACAAAGAAGGGAGUAAAAUGGUCCCAAACAUGUUCUGUCAGACUUGGUGAUAUGCUAUUUCAGACUUUGAAAUUGGAUUUUCAGUGUUGUUGCUCAACUUCAGUGCACCACAACUCUUGUUCUGAGCAUUUUCAGCCAUGGAGUGUUAUACCAAGUAGGAAGGGCUAUAAAUGAAGAAUAAUUUUGGUUAAGGAGGAUUGACCAGUUGACAUAUGAAAUUGUGAGAAACCAAGGUUUGAACAUGGAGGUCUGCAAGGGAUCAGUAUUGUGCUGAUUUAGUUCACUGUUGGCUUGGUUUAGUGUUUUUCCUUGGAUUUUGGAGUUGUUUUGUGUCUGAUCCAAGGGGUACAAGACUAAGGUCCCAGUGGCAAAUUGUUAGAGGGUUAGUUGGUGAACAAAGAUUAUUAAGGUUGAUUCCCUGUUGUGGUUUAAAACUGGGAGAAAUGAAGGAGUGAAGUUGUGAACUCAGUCAAGCAGUAGCAAAAUUUGGAACUAUUUGGAUAUGAUUUGCUUAGCAAGCUAAUUAUUGCCCCAAAAAGAAAAAAAAUCACCUAUGGAAUGAGGACACCUAGUAGUUUAGUGAAGUGAUGAAGUUUCUUUCAGAGUUUUAAUCUUUUGGAUAAGAUCUAAGAUAGAUUAGUUCUCUGGGUUACCUAAGCAAGUUCAAUUUGGUCACUUUUAUCAAGUGCUAGGUUGUGUAUAAGUAUGUGUAUACUUGUCAUGUACUUAUUUAGGAGUGUAUAUGUUCCCCACCUCUCCUUGUGAGAGUUUGCAUUUCAUAUCAUAACAUAAGCAUACAUGUAUUUGUAAUUGACUUGUAGAACACCUAGAAGAAGUGGUGUUUGAAGGAGUCUACUCCAGUUCCUGCUCAUCAAGUGGAUGGAGCUAUCUAACUGAAGGUUGGGUAGAAGGAUCUAGAACCUCUUCUCUACAACAAAGGCAAGCCCCGGUGCAUUUGCCCCUUCCUUGUAUUUUUAAAAGAUUUUUAUACACUUUAAGUCUAGUGAAAUGUGCAUUAAGUUUAUAGGAGUUGCUUGGAAACUAUUGGAUGCAUUGACUACCUUGAUAUCCAUUCCUGUUAUAGAUACUUCUUUGGAAGUAUCAAAUAUUGUUUAUAAAAUUGCUUAUCCCUGCCUAGAGGUAAAUCUUGCAGAUAGAGUUUGUCCUUUGCACUAAUGCCUAGCUCAGGGUUUAUCCUGAGGAAGGAUGGCUCUACCUACAAGAAUAUUUUCACCUGGAUCAUGGGGAGAUCUAAAGCACGGUUCCAUGUGAUCCUUUAAUCAUCCUAAGAGCAUCUUCAAGAGACUAGCUAAAUGACUCGUCAAGCCAAAAUUUAGCUACUCAAUAGUAAAUUAAAUCUCCAACAGACUAGCUAUCUGACUCGCAAGCUAUCUGACUCUGUAAAUUGGCUCUCUCACUAGCUAAAUUUGGCUAGCCACCUGACUAGCCAAACUAGAUAGAUAGUCUGUUGGAUUGAGAUGCUAUAUAUAAAGUGUAAUCUUUAUGAAAACGUAAAUAGAUAGUCAAAUAGAGAGUAAAAAAUGAAGAGUCUCUUGGAGAUGCUCUAAGGUACACAAAUAAGUCCUAAGGAUGAAAGUACUUAAAUCGAGACUUGGGCUAGGAACAUGUGAUGUUCUGCCCAGGUUGAUUAAGGAUUAUAGGGAAUGUAGGCUUGAUGAUCGAGGAAUAUAUUAACUAGCCACAUGUCCUUGUAUGGGACAGGGUAAGCCUAAUCUCAGCUUGACCAAUACCAGAAAGACUACCACGCAAUGGGAGUGGAGAGAUGGCGAGAGUAGCAUGUACCCUCUGUGGCAAGAGGCUGGACGGUGGAGUAACUGUGCUCUCGGUUGGCGUGAACCCAGUCUAGUCAUGAGAUAGCAGGGGGUGGAUUGGCAUAUGCAAGGGUUAAGUGCUACAUAUGUCGUGUGGUUAGAGAUCCCCAGCUGGGUAAAUCGAUUUGGAUCGCUGUUAUAUCCUCGGACCAUGGAAACUUGAUCACUGCCCUACAAUCUAAGUCAUGUAUGGAAUCACGAUGAGUAAAAAUGAUGUUGUAUUAAUUAAUGUGAUGAUGAAAUUAGACUAGAUGCAAACAAGGUCUAUUAAUACUUAAUCUAGCAUUAAAAUGUUGAAAGUAAGGACUCGUUUUAGUAAGCUUUUCUCCAAAUUAUUAAAGUUGAUUCUUGCUAAAAGUCUUUCCUUGAUUCCCAAAUCCAGCAUAUCCUUGAGAGUCUUUUUCCUUAGUCGGAAAAGACUUGCGAAAGUACACUUCGUACUCAGGGUUUCCAAACCCAUAUUGUUGUAGGUAAUCAGGAGUAUUCUACAUGUCCCUGUGGCUGGAAUAUGCUUCCAGUCUUGAAGGAGGAUUAGUGAGAUCUGUGCGUGAGCUUUGGAAGGGUUAUACCUUCUUGGUUUGUAUGUAAGUUAUGCACUUUGAGUUCUAUCAGGACUUGUAAUAAUUAUAACUCUUUCUAGCAUGUAAAACUUGAGUUUUGGAAUAAAGAAUGUUUUGUAAAGUCUUCUGCUCUGUCUCCAAAGUGUGUGUGUAUCAAAUGUGAUUACUGUAAUAUACAUAUUUUGCGGGAGAUCACUCAGAUAAUGAGUUCAAGUUGUUGAACUCGAUAGCCUUGUUAAGUAACACGGUAUAUGUGCAUAGCCAUCUGAGGCUGUUAAUGGCAAGGAUUGGUGCAUGUGGACCUGAUAACUUUGGAGGGCUAUCAUAGAGUGGUAUCAGAGCGAUCCCCCAUUAGCAUGGAUAUAAAGUAAUCCUUUGAUAAGCAUCAAAAGGAUUUGGAGUCCAAAUUAUUUUGGAAAACUUAAGAAUGGAUAAGCAAAUCCUGAUAGUAGAAGUACAAAUAGUAUAUGGUUAAAACUAAGGACUAUAAGGUGGCUUAGUUUAGGAUGCUAACCACUAACCCACAACUAUAAUGCAAUUUUAUGCAGAUACACUAACUAAACCCUAGGGAAGUGCGACUAGUGAUCAAUUACGAAGUGAGUAGGUAUGCCACCACCAUAGAAUGUGAUAGCCACUAUAUGUUGGCAAGAGUUGCAAGGACGAAUAGGACGAGCAUGUAUCAUGUCAUACAACUUUAAGUUAAACCCCCUGUGUAGCUAUUCUAGUACGUCUUUCAUCUACCCUAUUCAUACAUCCUUAGUGAAUAGAGUGUAUCUGUUGCUCUUCUCUAUAGAUGAAUCAACAAGAAGCGCCUACAGGAGUUGGAGAGUUUCUAUGAGAUUUUGGUGUUCCAAUGGUCAUGUGGCGACUACUUGAAGAAGUUGGAUAUACCGAAGCACCCAAGUACCAGUGGUCAUGCAUUGUUCUUACAGGGAAACCAUGGUAUGAGGUAGCAGUGCGUAUUCCAGAAUGUGCUAGAAAGCCAUCUUGGCCACAUUGGAUGUUCCAUGCUGAAGGAAUGACUCCUUGGGAAGGUGCCUAGGUAGCUGCCUUAGAGGUGUUGACAAACAUUUGUUAUCAGAAAUGGGAAGAAAUACAAGCAACAUCUAUGAGGUUGUUCCCUUCAGUUGCUUUAAGUGACCCAGUUGUGUAUCAUCACCAGGCCCGAUUAAUGGAAAGCAUUCCCAUUGGGAAGGAUUCGGUUGAAUCGGCAUCUGCUCGAGUUUUGAUGGCCGUGGUAGAGUUGUAGCUUACUCGAGGGCACAGUCAUCAAAUGUGGCAGCAGUUGUACACUAGGAGUUAUGCAGCAUUUAAGAUGAUGAAAAUGGCCAAAACAGGGCUUGUACCCAGGCACAAGAACGGCUUGAAGAAACGAAGGUUCAAGCGAAGCGAAUUGUUGUACUAGAUCAUCACAUAAGAUAACUUCAGACACAACACCAAGCUGAUCAGAAUAGCAUAAAAGAGCUUGAGCAUCAGCUAACUAAUGCUCAUUUUAAAUCAAAAGUUUUGAGUCAACAACAAGAAGAAAUUCACUCGUACGUUGUUACUGUUAGGGAAGAACUUAGGGAAACCAUAGGCUUCCUAAGUCAUCAGGAGUUGCAUCGUACCUAUCCAAUGGAAUUUCAAACAGCGCAACGACUGAUCAACCAUAUGCAACAAACGAUGCAUAUGCUCAAUAUUGCCUUUGAUUCUGCCCCAACACCUGGGGACUAAAAGGUACCUAUGGAGCAUGGAAAUCGACAUCUGGCAGAUGUGGUAACUUGAGAAGAUGUAGUAGAAACUUAGUUCUCAUCGAGCAAUAUAACCAUGUAAAUUAGUUUUGAAGGGUAGGUGUAAGGUAGACCAAUAUGGCCAUGUUAGCUAGUAAAAACAGGUUAAAUUUUGUUGUAAGGAGUUUUUCCUGUUUCACCUAGAUUAGGUAACCUAUGAGCUUGCAUAUGGCUAUGGUGUAAGAAAGCACUGCCUUUAUCAGUGGCAACUUUUGGAAGUCUGUAGUAGUUCGCCAAAUCCCAAAAGUUAAAAUGGAUGUUCCUUUUGAAAAGUGUGUUAUUGGUUUUCUCCUUAAUUGUUCUUACCACAUGGGUAUUGGAUGAGUAUACCUAGGGUUCCCUGUGGAUGCACAAGCGUGGAUAAAUGACUUGGCACACGCUGGUACCAUAGUUCCUGGUUGUGUUUCGUGAUGAACGGUACCACCAUGAUUUCCCAUGUGAGCCUGUUGACCGAGUAAUGGACAAAUGAAUAGAUGUUAUCCAAAACAAGUUAGAUGCAGCCUCAUGGGUAAAACACAUAGAAAGAGGUGUAUCACUGAGUCAUCACUGAAAGUCCAUAGCAUAUGAUACGGGUGUGAAUGUCGAACGACAUUGUGAUUAACUUAUGGUUCUCUCCUACCUUUUAAGAGAAGUUAGGAAAUAAAUUCGUGACGCAUUUGCUUUUCCAUUACUGAGCCUAGACUAUUAAUCUCGGGAUGAUAUUUCUUUUUAGGGGGGAAGGUUGUAACACCCCUAGUGUUACGAUGACUAAAACCUUGACAUGUCAUCAUAAGCAUUUGCAUUAACUUUCUUGUUACACCUAGAAUGCAUUUAAUAGGUUAAAAAUUUUCUUGUCAAAAGUGUAAUAUCGUGUGUUGAGUAUAGGACUUGGGUUGAGAACCUUGCUCGGAAUUAUGAGUAAGCAAACAACUUUUAAACCAGUAACACCCUAGACCUGAGUUCUAUCCAAAGUUGGAUUUGAGAUUAAGGAGUAACUUUGCUUUAGGAGGAUGGAGAAGUUUGCUUUUGAUAUGUGGAUUAAAAGUGGUGAAGCACUUAGGGUGGUUGAGUAUCUCUAAACCCUAAACUAGAGCCCAAAAGUGGAUUUGGAGAUUUAGCCACAUUUUGCAAGAGGUCAAAAUACCAAGGUGGUAGGAUUUCCAAAGUUGAACAAUUUUGUUAUUUGGAGAUUUCCAUGUUGUGUGGAGAAAUUCACAAAGGUUCAGUUUUGGAGUUCCUGAAAAUAGUAGCAACUAGGCAACUUUGAUCCUUUAUAACUUCUGAUCUAUAAACAUUUUGAAGGUGGUCAUUGUAACUAAGUUAUAGAGCUAUGUGAGGAGUGUAGGUUUGAUUAAGUAACCUAGCCGUAAAUCUAUAUGGGAUUUGGAGAAGAACUGGUCUAAAGAAGAGCUGUUAGAAAAUAUGGAUUUCAGACUUUUAGAAAUUCAGUUUGAAUUUCAGCAUUUGGAGCAAAGUUUGGGCUAUUGUAGUUUGGAAUCCGAGAGGACUUGGUUAAUGACCAUUGUACCAAACUUGUAGAGAAAUGAUAGUAGAAAAUUUCUUAUUAAGUGAUAUAGUCCUAAAACUAUAUGCUACUAGUAUAAAAGGUAGUCCAAAGGUUGACUGACAGAUUUCCCAGUUUUCAGACUUAAAACAAUAGUUUGAACCUGAGUUUCAGUGUUUUGAGGCUGUUUUGGGAACUCCUUUGUGAUUAAUUUAGGGAGUUUUGUGCUGUGGUGUUUAUAGAGAAGUUGAAACUUAUAUGAUGGUGAACAAGUUUCUUUAAGUGACUUUGGCUUGUUCUCACAGAAAAAGUGGAGAAAUAGCUGCUCAAAGAUUGGACUGUCAGGUGGCUAGUGACAGUCUAUUCAAAGCUGAAAUCUGGAAUUUUAAUGAAGAGUGCCUAGUCCGGAGUGCUUUUGUAAUUAAUCCAUGUGGUUUUAGACUGUAGUUUCUAUAGUAAACUUGAAUACCAUAGCAAAAUGAACAAGUUUACUAAAGUCACUCGGACUUGGUUCCACAUAAACCUGGGAGAAAAGGUUGUUCCUAGUUGUGAUGUCCGACUGGAGAGAUGUAAAUUUAGUUAACUGUUGCUGGCAGUUUCAGUGUGUUUUUACCCACCUUUGGAACCCUGUGGUAAUUAGUACAAAGCGAGUUGAGUUAAAAAAAUCUAUAGUAAAGUGAAAUACCAUAUAUAGGAGCACAAGUUUCCUUAAGUGGGUUUGGUCUGCUACUACACAAAGAAGGGAGUAAAAUGGUCCCAAACAUGUUCUGUCAGACUUGGUGAUAUGCUAUUUCAGACUUUGAAAUUGGAUUUUCAGUGUUGUUGCUCAACUUUAGUGCACCACAACUCUUGUUCUGAGCAUUUUCAGCCAUGGAGUAUUAUACCAAGUAGGAAGGGCUAUAAGUGAAGAAUAAUUUUGGUUAAGGAAGAUUGACCUGUUGACAUAUGGAAUUGUGAGAAACCAAGGUUUGAACAUGGAGGUUUGCAAGGGAUCAGUGUUGUGCUGAUUCAGUUCACUGUUGGCUUGGUUUAGUAUUUUUCCUUGGAUUUUGCAGUUGUUUUGUGUCUGAUCCAAGGGGUACAAGACUAAGGUUCCAAUGGCAAAUUUUUAGAGGGUUAGUUGGUGAACAAAGUUCAUUAAGGUUGAUUCCCUGUUGUGGUUU
rnacentral:lncRNA from 1 species